CUAUACAUGCAAGUCGAACGCUUCUUUCUUAUCGAACUUCGGUUCACCAAGAAAGAGGAGUGGCGGACGGGUGAGUAACACGUGGGUAACCUGCCCUUUAGCGGGGGAUAACACUUGGAAACAGGUGCUAAUACCGCAUAAUCUUUUUUCUCGCAUGAGUAAAAAGUGAAAGACGCUUUUGCGUCACUAAAGGAUGGACCCGCGCUGCAUUAGCUAGUUGGUGAGGUAACGGCUCACCAAGGCCACGAUGCAUAGCCGACCUGAGAGGGUGAUCGGCCACACUGGGACUGAGACACGGCCCAGACUCCUACGGGAGGCAGCAGUAGGGAAUCUUCGGCAAUGGACGAAAGUCUGACCGAGCAACGCCGCGUGAGUGAAGAAGGUUUUCGGAUCGUAAAACUCUGUUGUUAGAGAAGAAUAAGGAUGAGAGUAGAAAGUUCAUCCCUUGACGGUAUCUAACCAGAAAGCCACGGCUAACUACGUGCCAGCAGCCGCGGUAAUACGUAGGUGGCAAGCGUUGUCCGGAUUUAUUGGGCGUAAAGCGAGCGCAGGCGGUUUCUUAAGUCUGAUGUGAAAGCCCCCGGCUUAACCGGGGAGGGUCAUUGGAAACUGGGAGACUUGAGUGCAGAAGAGGAGAGUGGAAUUCCAUGUGUAGCGGUGAAAUGCGUAGAUAUAUGGAGGAACACCAGUGGCGAAGGCGACUCUCUGGUCUGUAACUGACGCUGAGGCUCGAAAAGCGUGGGGAGCGAACAGGAUUAGAUACCCUGGUAGUCCACGCCGUAAACGAUGAGUGCUAAGUGUUGGAGGGUUUUCCGCCCUUCAGUGCUGCAGCAAACGCAUUAAGCACUCCGCCUGGGGAGUACGGCCGCAAGGCUGAAACUCAAAGGAAAUGACGGGGGCCCGCACAAGCGGUGGAGCAUGUGGUUUAAUUCGAAGCAACGCGAAGAACCUUACCAGGUCUUGACAUCCUUUGACCACUCUAGAGAUAGAGCUUUCCCUUCGGGGACAAAGUGACAGGUGGUGCAUGGUUGUCGUCAGCUCGUGUCGUGAGAUGUUGGGUUAAGUCCCGCAACGAGCGCAACCCCUAUUGUUAGUUGCCAUCAUUUAGUUGGGACACUCUAGCGAGGACUGCCGGUGACAAACCGGAGGAAGGUGGGGAUGACGUCAAAUCAUCAUGCCCCUUAUGACCUGGGCUACACACGUGCUACAAUGGGAAGUACAACGAGUCGCAAAGUCGCGAGGCUAAGCUAAUCUCUUAAAACUUCUCUCAGUUCGGAUUGUAGGCUGCAACUCGCCUACAUGAAGCCGGAAUCGCUAGUAAUCGCGGAUCAGCACGCCGCGGUGAAUACGUUCCCGGGCCUUGUACACACCGCCCGUCACACCACGAAAGUUUGUAACACCCGAAGUCGAUGAGGUAACCUUUUGGAGCCAGUCGCCUAAGGUGGGAUAGAUGAUGGGGUGA
rnacentral:rRNA from 1 species